AGUAUUGGACACUGGGCGGAAACCUGAUGCAGCGCCGCCGCGUAUGCGAUGAAGGCCUUCGGGUCGUAAAGCUCUGUCCUAGGGGGCGCUAAUGACGGGACAAUCGGAGGAAGCCCCGGGUAAUUACGUGCCAGCAGCCGCGGUAAUACGUAGGGGGCGAGCGUUGUCCGGAAUUACUGGGCGUAAAGGGUACGUAGGCGGCUAGGUAAGUCAGGUGUGAAAUCCAUGGGCUCAACCCAUGUAAGCACUUGAAACUGCUUAGCUUGAGUUAAGGAGAGGAAAGCGGAAUUCCUGGUGUAGCGGUGAAAUGCGUAGAUAUCAGGAGGAACACCAGUGGCGAAGGCGGCUUUCUGGCCUUGGACUGACGCUGAGGUACGAAAGCGUGGGGAGCAAACA
rnacentral:rRNA from 1 species